UGGGGCGUAGCAAGUUGGUAAGGCAUCAGAUUUUGGCUCUGACAUCCGUAGGUUCGAAUCCUGCCGCCCCAGCCA
rnacentral:tRNA from 2 species